rnacentral:lncRNA from 1 species
AAAGAAAGAAAGAAAGAAAGAAAAAGAAAGAAAGAAAGAUGUAGCCAAGUGUGGUGGUGCACAUCUGUGUCUCAAAACAAAACAACAACAACAACAAAACCCCAAAAAACCAAUAGCCACUGCUUAGCUCUUCUAAGUCUAAGGACCUGCACUCCAGCUGGAAAUGUCACAGGGCUGGGGAGGAACAGGGCAAAGGUCCAGAGAAACAGCCCCUCACACGGAAUCUCUUACUGGGUGAGGGGGGAAACCUGUCUCCCUCAGUCAGGGGGGAGUGUGGGUGGGCCCUUUCUCACUCUCCUGCCUCCACGGACUUGUGCCACUCCCGGGGAAUUGCCCUCGACUGGCCAUGGUCUGGAACAGCCUGGGAGCUUUUGGGCAGAACAGCUCAGAUGUAACCACCUGGCUGGGGGGGCACUUCUGCCUUUAGAGGGGUCUGUGUCCCUGGCCACUGCUCAAGCAAGGAGCUCUCUCAGGCUGCUGAAGGAGAGUCUAUGUUUCCUGCUGCAAGUCAGGGCUGCACCAACCCUGACAGAUGAGUCAAGUCUUAGAACAUAUGACAUUUAUAUUGAGAAACAAGAGAGACUGAUGUUUAAACUCUGGAAUGGACAAUAACACCCUGUGAAUAACCAUGGUCUUAGAGACUCCGGCUUGGUCAUGACAUUGAGAAAAGUCCUUUGCCAGCUCUUCUGGCAGCAUUGGCUCUGCCAGAUCUGCUUGAUCAUCCACAAGUUCAGCGGGAGAGGCCAGGACCAGAUCCAUCCACAAGUUCAAGGGGAGAGGCUAGGGGCCAGGGUCACCUCAAUUUUCACCCUGGGCCCGCAGCUCCAGGCCUCAGAAGCCAGCACGUCCUUUUCUACAGCUUGAGAAACUGGAUGUGACUGUCAACACUUGGACACCCAUGAGCCACCAACUAACAGGUUAAGAAGUUUUACCUAUUUCAUUUCAUUUAUUUAUUUAUUUAUUUUUAAUUGACAAAUUAUAAUUGUAUAUGUUAAUGAAAAUGUAAUGUUAUAAUAUAUGUAUACAGUGUAGAAUGAUUAAAUCAAGCUAAUUAACAUGUCCA